rnacentral:rRNA from 1 species
UACGUAGGUCCCAAGCGUUAUCCGGAAUUACUGGGCGUAAAGCGUCUGUAGGUGGAUAAGUAAGUUUUGUAUGAAAGACCGGAGCUCAACUUCGUGUUUGUAUAAAAUACUGCUUGUCUAGAGUCAGGGAGAGGUAAGUAGAAUUGUAUGAGUAGGGGUGCAAUCCGUAGAUACAUACAAGAAUACCAAAAGCGAAGGCAACUUACUGGAACUGUACUGACACUGAGAGACGAAAGCGUGGGGAGCGAAA